CGCAACGGAGAGACGCUGGGCAGCUCGCGUUCCUUCACGGAACGGAACCACUCCGUCCGGAUCGUCUCCGAUCUUCGCGAC
rnacentral:tRNA from 1 species